UCCCCGCAUGGAUAACCCCUCCUUAACCACCUUCCCCUCUCUCUUUUUCUCAAUCCAAGCUUUUCAUUUUUAAUUUUUUUUUUGUGUAGAAGAAAUGGGGAAGAAGUAGAACGACAUCCAGAAAACGGGGCUAGGUCGAGCCCUGCUAUCUCGCUUCUACAGGAAGAAGUUCCUUGAAUCCUUCAACGAAGUCUCCGACAUCGACGCCGUCGUCGAGCAAUCCCUAGAACCCCUCCCCAAACUCGCCGUUGCCGCUUCAACCACUCUUAUCAGCCUCGAACCAGGUUCCGUCCCUGAUGAAACGACGACCCCAGAAGAAGCGAGGAAGCAGCAGAAGCAAGAGGAGAUUGAACACUAGUGGAACGUGACAAUUUUCUUUUGAAAAAACUAGUUUUCUCUAAUUAUGCAUUUUAAUUUAUGCCUGGCCUUGUUUUGUAAUUUGAGUGGGGAGUUUUUGGUGUUUUGUUACAUGGAUUAGUUGGUAAAUUAAAUUUUCACGAGUAUAACUUUUAGUGGCUUGAAAAGUGAAAACCAAUCAAUAUUAAGAAAACAUCUGCUUCAAAAUCUUACUCCUUUUAUUCAAGUAUUUUAUCUCAUGAAUGUAUUAUGUGUAUUUCUUCUAUAAUUAAACUUCAGACUGUCAAGAGACCUCACACUAGCUAUGAAUAUAGCCAAAAUACUCUUUUACAAAACUUGGGCAAUCCUCUCCAUCUUGAGCUCGUUUUUGGCUCGAGUUAGGUUCAAUCCAUUUCUAAUAUGGUAUCAAGCCUCAAGCCUAUCUAGUCUUGAGUUUGGGCCACUGUAGAUGUGUAUUUCUGCAAAUUUCACACUUCUAAUUUCCGGUUUUGGGCAUAAGGGUGUGUGUUAAGGUGUUUCAAGGCUAAAAGUUUAAAAUCCUGUUUAACUGGUCCUCUAUACAACUUGUUUUGGUUCUGGGGUUUCUCUGCAUACCUUUCUGAGUCUUUUAUCAUGUUAUGGACUGGCCACUGUCUUCUUUUUUGUUUGGUUAAGGACUUCAAUUUGUAUAAUUUCUUUGUCCUUAUUUAUGCUUUCUUCAAAGCCUUGUAAGUAUUAGUGAUGAAGUUACUCACAUACAUAUUUGCUACAUCUUCUCCAGAAGCUGUCUUAUUUUCUAACAAUGUAUAAUGGAAUUUAUAUCUUGGAUUGGGAACAGUCCUUUAAUGGAUUUAUUCUACUUAUGCAUAGGUUGGUGUACUUAUUGGCAAGGCUGGAGAUACUAUACGAUACCUGCAGUAUAAUUCAGGCGCAAAGAUUCAGAUCACGAGGGAUGCUGAUGCUGAUCCUCUCUGUGCAACAAGGCUGAUGCUGGGGUUCUCCUUCACUUGUAGCUCGAGGCCUCUCCCCUGCUCAAGCUACUGUGGGAUCUGAACAAAUUCAGAUACAAGUUCCAAAUGAAAAGGUUGGAUUAAUCAUAGGGAGAAGUGGGGAAACAAUUAAAAGCCUACAGACCAAAUCCGGGGUGCGCAUCCAGGUAUUGAUACCUCAACAUCUUUCAGAAGGGGAUGAUUCCAAAGAAAGGACUGUCCAAGUUACUGGUGAUAAGAGGCAAAUUCAAAUUGCACAAGAAUUGAUAAAGGAAGUCAUGAAUCAGGUUUGUUUGACUAUACAUGCUUAUGCUGAGAAUUUUUACAAUUUUAAAGUUCAGAUAUCAUUGGUGCUUAUCUGUUUAGUAUAGUUUUUAUAUUAAUGCUCACAAUUCUGCAUUCUUUUGAUAUUUGUUAUGUGAUUUUAUAUCAAGAUAUUUGCAUGCAUUGAAUAUGGCCUCCCCUCCUCUCAAAAGAUUAAACUAGUUAUCAGUGUCUUAACUUAAAAUAUUGGAUAAAACACUUAGGUGAAGUUGGAUGUGAUUAGUUUAAUUAAUAUAUGUUGAUGUUUUGAUGGGGUUUUUUCUCCACUUCUCCCCCGUUUUCAUUCAAGGGAGAUAAGGCUUCCCUUAUUUCCUUCUCGGCUUUACAUUGUAUUCUGUGUUUUAAGGAGCUUUUGAUUUGAGAAUCUUGUUUUCCAGGAUAAUGGGUCAUGGUGAUUGUUGUUUCCAUAGUGAUUAUUUAUCCAUAUAAUUUUGGUUGACAUUCAGCUUGAUAACAUUAUUAGUAAUCUAUGGUAAUUAUGUUAUGCUUGAUUGAGUUUGAUUAGUUUUAAAAUUUCUCUACUAGUAAUUCAAAAUAAUCAGACUCAAGACAAAUUUGUUCAAUUUUUGUUAAUUUUUAGUCUUGCUAAUGUUUAUGAACAAAAUUAUUUGGUGAUCUUAAGGCUUGGUUUAGUUUUCCUCUGCUGCUCAUAACAUAAAUUAAGUCAUUACAAAUCAUUGUGCUAACUGAUUGAGAUUUCUGUGAAAAGGCCAGGAAUUUUAAACUUGCUGCCAAUUGAAUUUCAGCACAAGGUAGGAGUGUUUUUUCUUUGUACACACCCAGGAUUAACGGGAUCUUGCCUAAGGAGUGUGUUAGAUUUGGUACUUGGCAGUUUGGAUUAUCAGAUGCAAUUAUACAAAGAUACUAAUAUUAAUCUUACUUAGGGGGUUUACAAGUUUCAAAAUUUUCCUAGUUGUACCUUAUGGCAAUUAAUCUCACAUGGCUAUUAAUUAUUAAUUGCCAUCUUACAUGGUUACAUUUUCAUGAUUGGUGUUAUGUAUCUUGAACUAUAUGCUUAUUAUUUUCUGUUGAUCCAUGUAUUUUGGUUUUGAGGAAGUAAUCUAGUCAUUAUUGCUCGGAAUCAAACAAAGUGGUAAUUAUGAGACCUGUCAUCCUAAUGCUUUUUUUUUUACUCUGAAGUAUGUUCAUUUAAGGGAGUUUGCUUUAAUUAUUUUGAGGAAACUGUAAUAAUAAAUAAAUGAGGCAUAUUAUAUCUUCAUUAAGUAAAUGAUUUUUUGAAAAUCAAAAUGUCUCUUUGACUCAGGAUGAGCUGAUUAGGCUAUGUAAGUGCCAAGGAAAUUUGGUAAACAUUUUGGCUGCUCUCAAUGUAUUAAAAUCAAAGUCUUAGUUUUUUUUUCCCAUUUUUCUGUUGGGAACCACCACUGAAACUGAAAAUGUAUCAUUUAACAAUAUCAUGUUAAUGCCUAGGAAAGGCUAUGGGAUUAGCUAUCUUCUGGUUAUAUAUGAUGAAUUGGGCAAUGUAUCACUGCUUCACCCCAGGCUCUUUUAACAUGGUUUUGUUAUGGUAUCUGUAUUCGGUAUGUUGUAACUUUGCACAUAUCAGACUGCUGGUUCUCUUGUGAUAGUUUCCCAAGAUUUGUAGUUUUAUUACUAAUUUUAUAUUCUUUUGUAUGCAUACUCACUUAUAUAUGUAGUUGAUUUUUUUUUCGAACUUACAUAUUAAUUCAUGAGUUUUU